CACGGGGGGAGCAAGCGUUGUUCGGAAUCACUGGGCGUAAAGGGUGCGUAGGCGGGUCUUUAAGUCAGGGGUGAAAUCCUGGAGCUCAACUCCAGAACUGCCUUUGAUACUGAGGAUCUUGAGUCCGGGAGAGGUGAGUGGAACUGCGAGUGUAGAGGUGAAAUUCGUAGAUAUUCGCAAGAACACCAGUGGCGAAGGCGGCUCACUGGCCCGGUACUGACGCUGAGGCACGAAAGCGUGGGGAGCAAACAGG
rnacentral:rRNA from 1 species